GACUCCCAGACUGUUGGGAGGAAAACUGAGCCGCAGCCACGGAGGUGGACGGGAGCGCCUCCCGAGUGCGCAUGCGCCCGCUCGCGGCCUGCUUCUAUUUAUGUGGGGGAUCCAACAUGGCGGCCGCGGCGACCCUGGCGAUGGCGGUGGAGCCCACCAGGACAUAGCGGCGGGGAAGCGGGCACGGACCGCACUCACGGUGGCGUCGGCGGCAACGGCUGAGGGCGGCGGAGGGAAGAAAAGCGACGGAGAGCCAGAGGAAGGGCGGACAGGCACACAACUCGGCGCCGACCCGGGCGCCGGCGCGAGCGAGGGCAGAGGGCCAGAACAGUAGGGAUGGCGGAGCCGCGCCGAGUAGCGUUUAUCAGCCUGUCACCGGUGAGGCGGCGCGAGGCCGAGUACCCGGGGGCCGAGCGCGAGCCCGAGUACCCCCGCGAGCCGCCCCGGCUGGAGCCGCAGCCGCAGCCGCAGCGCGAGCCGCCGGUGCGGGCGGAGCAGCCGGUCCCGCGGGAGGCUGCCCCCCGCUCGGACGCGCCGCCGCCGCCGCGGGAGAAGCCGCCCGCCCCGCGCGAGGGCGGCCGCCCCGAGCCGCCCAUGUCGCUGCAGCGCGAGCCCCCGCGGCCCGAGCCGCCGCCGCCGCCGCCGCUCCCGCAGCUUCCCCUGCAGCCGCCCCCGCCGCGGGAGUCGGCUUCCCCGCAGCGGAGGCCGCCGAGGGAGACGGUGCGCCUGGAGCUGGUGCUCAAGGAUCCCACGGACGAGAGCUGCGUCGAGUUCAGUUACCCGGAGCUGCUCUCGUGCGGAGAACAACGGAAGAAGCCCAUUCACUCAGAAGACCCAUUUAAUGAUGAGCAUAAAGAGAGGCAAGAAGUGGAAAUGUUGGCCAAGAAGUUUGAAAUGAAAUAUGGUGGGAAACCCCGUAAACACCGGAAGGAUCGGCUACAAGAUUUAAUUGAUAUAGGCUUUGGCUAUGAUGAGACAGAUCCAUUUAUUGAUAACUCAGAGGCUUAUGAUGAAUUAGUUCCUGCUUCUCUAACAACAAAAUAUGGAGGAUUUUAUAUCAACACUGGCACUCUACAGUUUCGCCAAGCUUCAGAUACUGAAGAAGAAGAUAUUACAGAUGACCAAAAGCACAAACUAUCAAAAAUUCCUAAAAUAAAAGAAGAUGGUAUUGAGAUGAAGAAGCGGAAGCGGAAAGAGGAAGGGGAAAAGGAUAAGAAGCCAAGGAAAAAAGUACCCAAACAACUGGGAGUUGUAGCUCUGAAUUCACACAAGUCUGAAAAAAAGAAGAAACGUUACAAAGAUUCUCUUUCCCUAGCUGCCAUGAUACGACAAUUUCAGAAAGAGAAGGAUGCAUUAGAGAAGGAGUCUAACCCUAAAGUCCCAGGGAACUUAAUGACCGCCCCUUUGAAUAAAGCCCCCUCCGCUGCUGUAACAUUGGGAAGUGAUGUCUCAGACUUAAACAUGAACCAUGCUGAUCCGGACCUCCCCAUUUUUGUUAGCACAAAUGAACAUGAACUGUUUCAGGAAGCUGAAAGUGCCCUAAAGAUAUUAGAUGAUAUUGACUUUGACAGAUUAUUGGAUGCUACUUCCGAUGGUAGCCCCCUCUCUGAGUCAGGAGGAGAGAAUGGAAACACCACCCAGCCAACCUACGCCUCUCAGGUUAUGCCCAAGGUGGUACCUAUACUCCCAGAGGGUUUACCUGUCCUUCUUGAAAAACGUAUUGAAGACCUUCGUGUAGCUGCCAAACUUUUUGAUGAAGAAGGAAGAAAAAAAUUCUUUACACAGGAUAUGAAUAAUAUUCUUCUGGACAUUGAGUUACAGCUGCAGGAACUAGGCCCUGUCAUUCGAAGUGGUGUCUACUCCCAUCUUGAAGCUUUUGUGCCAUGCAAUAAAGAAACACUGGUAAAACGUCUAAAGAAGUUACAUCUUAACGUCCAGGAUGAUCGUUUAAGAGAACCUUUGCAAAAACUGAAACUGGCUGUUAGCAAUGUCAUGCCUCAACAGCUAUUUAAAUACCAGGAGGACUGCCUGGCUCGUGGUCAAGCUAAGUGUGCCAAGUUGCAAACAGAUGAAGAACGAGAUAAAAAUGGAUCCGAGGAAGAUGAUGAUGAGAAACCAGGGAAACGUGUCAUAGGACCAAGAAAGAAAUUCCACUGGGAUGACACCAUUAGAACUUUGUUAUGUAACCUUGUUGAGAUCAAAUUGGGAUGCUAUGAGUUAGAGCCAAAUAAAAGCCAGUCUGCUGAGGAUUAUCUUAAAUCCUUUAUGGAGACAGAGGUGAAACCAUUGUGGCCUAAGGGCUGGAUGCAGGCAAGAAUGCUUUUUAAGGAAAGUCGGAGCGUGCAUAAUCAUCUUACUUCUGCCCCGGCAAAGAAAAAGGUGAUUCCUGCUCCUAAACCCAAAGUAAAGGAGUGUAGUCCAAAAAAGGACCAGAAAACUCCUGCAUCCUUGGUGGCUUCAAUUGGUGGUCCUUCAAGUUCCGUCAUAUCUGCCAUGGCCUCCACCAGCUCUAGCUCUACUCCAGUCCAGGAGACGAUCUGCCUUGACGACUCACUAGAUGAAGACCUUUCUUUCCACCCACCGGCACUGGAUCUUGUUUCGGAAGCUUUAGCUGUUAUCAACAAUGGCAACAAGGGCCCUCCAGCUGGCUCAAGGAUAAGCAUGCCAACUGCAAAACCUCGUCCAGGACUGAGAGAAGAAAAAUUAGCAAGUAUAAUGAGUAAGCUGCCACUGGCUACUCCCAAAAAACUAGAUUCUGCUCAGACUGCACAUUCAUCUAGUCUUAUUGCUGGUCACACAGGGCCAGUACCAAAGAAACCCCAGGAUUUAGCUCAUACUGGCAUCUCUUCAGGCCUUAUUGCUGGUUCUUCAAUUCAGAACCCUAAAGUUUCCUUAGAACCUUUGCCAGCCAGGCUACUUCAACAAGGACUACAGAGGUCAAGCCAGAUUCACGCUUCUUCCUCCUCACAGUCCCACGUCUCCUCUUCUUCCCAAGCCCAAGUUGCUGCCUCCUCUCAUGCUCUGGGAACAUCAGAGGCCCAAGAUGCUUCUUCAGUAACACAAGUAACAAAGGUGCACCAGCAUUCAGCUGUCCAACAAAAUUAUGUGUCUCCACUGCAAGCAACCAUUAGUAAAUCACAGAGCAACCCAGUGGUGAAAUUAAGUAAUAAUCCCCAGCUUUCCUGUUCGUCCCCACUUGUUAAGACUUCAGAUAAGUCACUUAUGUACCGCCUUCCCUUACCUACUCCCUCACCUGGAAAUGGUUCUCAAGGGUCCCACUCCCUGGUUUCUAGGACAGUACCUAGCACCACUACCUCCAGUAACUACUUAGCUAAGGCUAUGGUGUCACAAAUCUCCACGCAGGGUUUCAAAUCUCCCUUCUCAAUGGCUGCAUCCCCAAAACUUGCCGCAUCUCCCAAACCUGCCACAUCCCCUAAACCUUUGCCCUCACCUAAGCCUUCGGCCUCACCCAAGCCCUCUCUGUCAGCUAAGCCUUCAGUAUCAACUAAACUUAUUUCCAAAUCCAACCCUACUCCCAAGCCUACUGUAUCCUCAAGUUCUUCCAGUCCAAGUGCACUAGUGUCCCAGAGUAGCCACUCCAGCAGUAACAACCCAGUCCAUAAACAACCCAGUGGAAUAAACAUCAGCAGACAGUCUCCCACCUUGAAUUUAUUGCCCUCUAAUCGCACUUCAGGCCUUUCGUCUACAAAAAAUCUUCAGGCCUCAUCAAAGCUACCAAACUCAUCAUCCACUGGAACUGUUGGGAAGAAUAGCUUGAGUGGAAUUGCAGUGAAUGCACCUGCCAGCAGAGGUAGCAACCUUAACUCAAGCGGAGCUAAUAGGACUAGUCUGUCUGGGGGAACAGGAGGUGGAACACAGGGUGCUACUAAACCGUUGUCUACUCCACAUAGACCAUCCUCUGCCUCAGGGUCUUCAGUGGUAACAGCCAGUGUGCAGUCCACAGCAGGAGCAUCAUUAUUGGCUAAUGCCUCACCUCUGACUCUCAUGACAUCACCUUUGUCUGUAACAAAUCAAAAUGUGACUCCUUUUGGGAUGCUGGGUGGCCUUGUUCCAGUGACCAUGCCCUUCCAGUUUCCCUUGGAGCUACUUGGCUUUGGAACGGACACAGCUGGCGUGACAACCACCUCGGGAUCUACCUCAGCCGCUCUCCACCAUAGCUUAACUCAGAAGGGCUCAACCAGAUUUAAGAAGAUCACUGACAAAUCUGUUUUCCUCUCAGAUUUACUAAAGGGUUUACAGCCAGGAGUUCAGCAUGCAGCAACACUUUCCCACUCACCUCUGCCUACACAUUUACAGCAAACAUUUAAUGAUGGAGGCCAAAGUAAAGGGGACACUAAAUUACCACGGAAAUCUCAGUGACUUCCCAACAAGCAAAGGAGAUGAGACACUCAGCUGGCUGAUGGAAUCUACCUGAUGGGAAAGUACUCAUGUGGUCAUAGGGCUGCUGUUCUGUCGAUGUUUACAUUCUCUCGUCCCAAGCACUGUGGUGAGGAGGAAAAAGGAAAGAAAACAUUACUUGAGUUAAAACCAGGUGCAGGAGGAAGAAAUGCUUUCUUGCAAACAGAUCUAAAUUGCUUACUGCCCAGGGUUGGAAAGGGCAGACGCUUCUAGUCUUGCUCCUCUGGUUGCCCUCUACCACACCCCUUUCCACCUCUACUUGGUUCAAGACAUGUUCUGAAAUCGAAAUUCUGCUGUUUUUCAAACUGCCAUUGAUUGUGAGAACUCUCUGUCCCGGUGAUCAUCUCUUAGAACUCCAGUUCUCUAUCAUGUUUGCUGCUACGUUUGUAGAAUGAACUUUGCCUGUAUUGGUUGACUUUCACCUAAUUUACAGUUCUUUAUUUCUUGAAGGUUAUGUCUUAUCAUUUGACCCAUGUAUAGAAUUAGGAUACUUUAUUUUAGGAGUAUACCAUAAAAGAAUACUGGUUCCUGUAUUCUUUUUAUCUUCACUUAGGCUUUGAAUUUGAGUUUGCUUGUUUUAAAUUAGAAAUAGAAGAGUGAUAAAACCUAUAAUCAGGCCAAAUUCAAAAAGUUCCUGUGUUUCAGCACUGUAGUUUUUGCUGACCUUCCAUUCUCAGAUGGGGCACUUUUACUUUAUAUUAUGCAUGUUUUAUUAUGUUUGUUUUGUUGUUUUUGCUUUUGGGGGUUUUGUUUCUGUAAUAAUGAAGCAGAAGGAAAAUGCAGUAGUAGGUAAAUGACUGGUUACAAACAUGCAAUUUUAUUUUAUAAAAUCUAAGGGAAAAGUUUAACUCUCUGUAAAUCAUUUUUUAGCUCUGGUAAAAUGCUUAUAUUGCUCCUCUAAAACAUGCUUAAUUCAGGCCUUUCUCUUUUUUAAGUGCCUUUUUUUCUCUCCCCCUUCCCCUCCUUUCAAACUGUUCUCAUAUACCCUGAAGUACAGGCUAAUAAGUCAGGGGAUUCAGGAGGAAGAAUCUCAAACUUGCCAACUUCAUGUCAUGCUGUACCGUUCUUCCUUUUCUUUAUGUGUAUAUGGAUAUAUGUAUAAGAUACAUACAUACAUACAUAUUGUGUAUAUAUGUAUACAUAUGUAAUAUAUAUAUAAAACUAGUAGCUGCUGUACCAUUGCAUCCUUUCUGAACACUUCCCUGUCAGUGUUUGCAAGAUUUCUGCCUGUUUAUUCCACUGCUUUUAGUCAAUUCAAAUGGAUGGACUGGGAAAUUGUCUUUCCCCCUUGGAGUGUGAGUGUGUGUGUGUGUGUGUGUGUGUGUGUGUGUGUGUGUGUGUGUAGUCAUUACAAAUAAAAUAAAUUUAGCCAACUCAUUGACUAUUCCUGGGUUUAACCUACUGCUUUAUGCCCUUCAAACUUGGCAUGAGUAAUACUGGAGAAAGCAUUGGAGUAACAAGUCUUUAGUGGGUCAACUCAAUAAGGUGCACUGUGGCAGGCAAACAGCCAUGGGGGAGCUGGAGUUAGAAUCAUGGUGUUGUAUCUGAAUAAGUUUUCAAGGAAGUUAGCAAAUGUGUCAGCAUUGAAACUGCAUCGAACUAUCUUUGGGAAAAUUCUUUUUGGAGAAUUCAUAUAGCUAUUUUGCGUAUCUGUCAAAGGUUAAUAAAUUUAGAAGUAGAAAGACUUCAGAUGCUGGGGAAAACACUCAUAUAACCUUUGGCUUAAUCUGUUUUUAUGGUUAUUUAAACCCCUCCCUUGAGUAAAAUAACAUAAUUUUCAGCACCUAAGAUUCUUUUUUGUUGAAAACAUAUUUGACAUGCUAAGGGAGACUAAGUUGAACCAAUCCUCAAAACCCAGUACAAAUAUCUAAUAAGUGCUCCCUUUUAAAUACAUUUUAAUUGGGAAGAGAAGACCAGUGGCUAAAAGGAGAAAGCAGAGGCUCCUGGUAGUGUUACCUGAUAGCAACACUGUUAUUAGGCACCUCUGUUUAGUCAUGUUACUCUUGGAUUGCUAUAUUAGGGGGAAUGUCAUUUAACCUUCGUGCCUCAGAUUACCCAUUAGAAUAUUGGGUAUAAUAAUAUUCACCUACCUCCCAGGGAUAUCAGAGACUUUACUAUUUCAAAAAUACUUUGAGUUUUUCUAAAAUGUCUUAUAUAAUUAAAAAAGUAUUAUAAUCGUCCUGCAGAGGCUAAAGAAUGGGUAUAAAACGCACCAUUUAAUUUUAAGUUUAAAAAUAAAUCACUGGAAUUCUAAUUAAGAUACAUAUUUGUUAUUUAAGUAUAUUAUAUUUGUGGUGGGGUAAAAUGGGUACUUUCUGUUUAGUAAGGGGGGAGGAGGGAAGUAACACUUUGUUUCUUAAUCAUAUGUAGAUUUUUUUUUUUUUAGCCUUUUAUGGUAUUAUUUAUUACAGGUGUGAUUUUUGUCAAGGUUUCAGAGCUGAAGCUAGGUAAAAUUUAGAUGGUUUGUCAUUGGAGUUGAUUCCGAAAGUUUUAUCUGCCUCACUUUUCCAUCUUCUCCAUCUAAUUUUCUUAUAUUAGUUGUUUGGUGAUGCAUAGCAAAGCAUUUAACUAUCUAGGAAAGAAUGGGAGUCUCCUCAUUCUUGUAAACUGGAGAUAGUGUACUAUUCCUGUAACUAUAGGUUUACCCAUCUUUGCACCGAAGGGGCAAGCACUACACACAGUCAGCAGGGUACACUUCUAGUCAGUUUACCUUUUAACUUAUGCUUCUUCAACCCAUGAAAGAGUUGGAGCCAUUAGUGUUCAAGUUGUAGGAAAAUGGGAGUGGAAAGGCAGGAUUCACUUCCUAGCUGGGGCAGGGUUGGGAGGCUGGGGGUAGAAGGAAACAUGGUUUGCCCAUCUCUGAAGAGGAAAGGAAGAUCUUUUUAUCCUACCUUCUUUACAUAGAAUUUUCCUUUUAUCAUUUAAAACAACAGGAAAAAUGGAUGCUGCAUAUCUAGUUAGGAAUAAAUGCUGAGCAACAACUACUGGGGGUUGAGUGCUGAUUUAAAUUGUGGCACAUGUUCGGGAUUAGCAAAGAACAUGUCGGGAGAUGGGAACAAAUUGUCUAGCUCAAGUGAGUCAGGAGAAAGCAGCAGGCCCAAGUAGACAAAGCACUGGGCUGAUGCCCAGAACUGGCCAAGGCUCAUUUAACCUCUGGUGUUAGGACGUUUUUAUUGCUUUUUGCAGAGAAGGCCUUUGUAGCUUCUGAGUAUCAACUAUGCAGAUAAAUAUACUCUUUAUUUUACACAUUUCUUCUUCUCCAUUCUUUAAAUAACAGAUGUUAAGACUUCUAUCCAAAGAAAUAAGGCAUUAAGGUUUUGUUGAAUGUGUAUCUGUUCCGCUAGAGAAAAUUAACAGGAGCAUAAAAUAAGAGAGAUUUUUUUUGUUCUUCUAUCCUAAAAUGUGAAUCUUAUAUUAAAAAAUUAAGUGCACAUCCUUUCACUGGUGCAAAACUUAGAAUCAUGGAUUACCAUUGGGUUGUUAAGAUACAUCAUCCCAGCAUUCAAUUCUGAGAGACGAUCUAGGUUCUGCAGCAUAGUGUUCAGGUUUGAAGAGCUGAACAGAUUGUCUGACUCUAAUUAAAAAUAGCUUUGAAUAUUAAUGUUGAAUUCUUCUUUAUUUCCUUUAGUUUUCAUUCUUCUUUCUUUUAAUUUGAGCUCUUAAGUUAACCAUUUCGUCAACCAGUAGCUACACUGGAAUAUUGCGUAUUUUGAAGAGUCUGGGGAGGAAAGGUUAACCUGUCUUUCACUUCCUUUUCCCACUCACUUGGCUGUCUGUUCUGUGUCCCAUUGAAUUCAGAAGUAAAGACUAUAGUCAUGUUCCAGGAGACUGUUCACAUCCCAACAGACUCAGAGAGAGACUAGGGUUCUAUUCAUACUGCCUUUGAAUAACUUGACAUUAAAUUGCCUUUUUCUUAGACACUCCCAAAGUACCAUUUGCUUGAAAGUAACUAUUUGUGGUCUUUAAUGUCCUCAUACUGUAAUACUUCUACUUCACUUCUCAAUCUUUCUUACAUAUUUUCAGUUUAUAACAGAUUAAUACUUAAGUUUCUGACACUUUUCCGAACUGUUAACCAAACAGGUCAAGGAUACUUUCAUAAGUCUUAGUAGUGUAAUUGAUGGGGUCUAUAUUUCUAGGAAUUAGAAUUAUCACUGGUAACCAGAAUUUUUUCUCUCUUCUCCUUUGUAUUAAAAAAUAAUUUCUCUACUACAUAAUGUAGUAGCUACAAUUCAUGGCUUCUCUGGAUGCUUUCAAGGUUGUUCAGAAGAGACACAGGCCUUUGUUAGGGGCUUAGUUCUCAUAAUUCUCUGGCUAGCUUUUUUUCAUACUUCCCUGGGGAGAAAACCUACUUUGCAAAUAGUUAAGUCAUACAGGUCAUAUGAAUCCUUAGUACGGAUUUUAUGUGUUUCAGAAAACUACAUUAUUUGCUCCCAUUUUGCUAAUACUAAUAUAAUUUCUAGAGGCCCAGUGCACAGAUUUGUACACCAGUGGGGUGUCCCUCAGCCUGGCCUUCGGGAUCGGGCCAAAACCAGCUCUCCAACAUCCCCUGAGGGGUCCCAGAUUGCGAGAGGGCACAGGCCAGGCCAAGGGACCCAACUGGUCCAUGGUUGGGGUCGGGGAGGGAUGCCAGAGGUUGACCAACUGGGGAGGGACAGUGGAAGGGCUCCAUGGCAUGUCUAGCCCUUCUCACUCAGUCCCCAUCAGCAGGAUCCCAGCAGCAAGCUAACCUACCAGUCGGAGCGUCUGCCCCCUGGUGGUCAGUGCAAAUCAUAGUGAGCGGUUGAGCGGCCUUAGCAUAUCAGCAUAUUAGGUUUUGAUUGGUUAAACAGAUGACCAGACACUUAGCAUAUUAAGCUUUUAUUAUGUAGAAUUUUAUCUUAAAUCUAGUGUUAAAAUAUUUUAUAAUGGAGCAUUAAUGGAAACCUAAUUAAAUUCAAACAAGAUACUAUAACUCAAUGUAACUCGGAAAUACUUCAAUUUUUGAAGUCAGCAGCUCCAUUCAGCUUCUAAGCACAUUUAGGAGUUAGUAGUAACCAAGACCAGCUGUUGGUAUGUUUUUCUAUUUGACAACCUGCCCUUGAUUUAUCAGACCUCAGCUGUCUUGUAUUUUUCUGUCCUUGCAGUUAUAACCUCAUGUUUAUUGUUUGUUUUGUUUUCUUGCUUAUCUCUGCUGCUUGCAAGGGUAUUGUGCUCUGCCAGCACAUGGGGUUUUCUUUCCCAUACCUGCAAAAUUAUCAAGGAUUAUCCCAAUUCUGGCUAGAGGCAUUAAAAGAGUUUUUCUCAAUUAACAAAGGUAUUACUGUUUUAUAUAGUUAGUUAGAAAGUUGGUUGCGUUCAGCCAACUCUUAAAGUCCUGGCUCUGCCUACAUAAUUAAUUACAUAUACCUUCUGAGACCUUCAGAUACACAAAGGGCCCUUCCACCAGUAGAGGUGGGGUCCAUGGCCAGCCUCCAGAGAACGGACUAAAGCUUGGUACUGUCCUUUGUUGGCUGUCACGGAAAAAUUGUAUUAUAGGAAGUAUCAAAAAUAUAAAUUGUUUUUAAGGAGAGUAGGCAGACCUAAAGCUUGCCAUGUGUUUUGCUUGCUAAACAUUGUCAAGCUUAAAAGAGGAGGAAAAGAAAUCUCUGGCUGGCGAAAAUUUUGUGCCCCAAAUAAUGUGUUAAUGUCCACCACGGUAACGAAGUGAUGGGAGUUUUAUCCCUUUUUUAUAAACAAAGUUUAUUGUAGUCAUAAAAAUUAUUGUGGGACUGCAGAUCUAUUUGCUGAUUGGAAAUAAGGAUUCUGAAUUUUGGUCUGGCUAAGCACAUAUUUCCAACUUUUACACUAUAAAUUUUGAUAAGGGAAAGACUUUUGUUUGUUAACAGAAGGAAAAACAGGACUUAACUUAUACAGUGAAUGUUCACUCCGUAGAGGAAUUUCCCUCCAGUUACAUCAUCUUCCUCUUACUGUAGCCACCUCCACACCUGUUACAGACGGCCAGCAUGUUUCACAGCCAUCUUGAAGGAAGGAGCCUGAAUAAUUGCUCCUUUGAGGGAAAGGCACUGCUUAUCGUAUCACGAGUAUUUACAGGGAGGUGCGUUUAUACUAACUUGAAGGGAUAUACUGUAUUUUAAAUAAGUGUGUGACUUAAUACUUUGGGAUUAUUUUUCUUCCUUUAAAACUGGACCUGAACAAAGCUUUGAGUUGAUAUUUGUAAUAAUCUCAGGACCUGAAAGAUUGUAGCAUUUAGUGUGUCUUAAAAAUUAUGUACUGUACCAGCCAUGGAUUUUUGUAAAUAUACCUGUCUCCCUUUUUUGUAUUAUUUUAGUAAAAAAUAAUAAAUUUAAAUAAAAGGGGAUAGUGAUGACAUGUGAAUGGGUGUGGUAUGUAUGUGUGUGUGUUUGUAUAAGGCUCUUUUGAGAUGAACUGGUGCUUGUUUAAUUUCCAGCUCUAAUCAGAGCAGGAAUAUGGACAACUGCUGCUACUGUACUCUGCACUGAGCCUAGGAAUUUCCAUUUUAUCUUUCCCAAUGGUUGAUUAAAAACGAGCUACCAGGAAAUUACUAAUAACUUUAAUUCCUCCCACUGCCGUCUUGCUCUGUAUUCUGAGUUCUGCAAUGGUAAAGCUUUCCAAUCUUUGGGGGGUUCACUGGUCUCUAGUUUUUAGAGAACUCUUGUCACUAUUUUCUAAGAAGAAAGAAGGACAGAUACAUUUUUUAACCAAAAUCACACAUUUCAUAAAACCCUGAUGAGUUAUGGAUAUGUGAGAGGGCUUAAACAUUCCUGAAUACGAAUCUUUGAAUUUGGUAAAUUAACCCCAUGGAUAUACUCCUUCAGUGCAGGGGAAUUUUUUUUUUUUCUUUUUUUGCAACAGCCUUGCUCAUAUUCCAGAUGUAGCUUGCGAACCCCUGUUUUAAAGCAGGAGCCUUAUUUGAUUUAGUGUAGAUGUUUCCUGUCAAUCCUUUGUGACAGGGCCUUUUACAUGAGUGGUUUUUUCUUUUUGUAUGUGUUAUGUGUUUAUUGUAUUAAAUAAAGAGGAAUGUGCAUAUUA